CACACGACUCUCGGCAACGGAUAUCUCGGCUCUCGCAUCGAUGAAGAACGUAGCGAAAUGCGAUACCUGGUGUGAAUUGCAGAGUCCCGUGAACCAUCGAGUCUUUGAACGCAAGUUGCGCCCGAGGCCAUCCGGCCGAGGGCACGCCUGCCUGGGCGUCACGC
rnacentral:rRNA from 1 species